rnacentral:rRNA from 1 species
GAUGAACGCUGGCUACAGGCUUAACACAUGCCAGUCGAGGGGAAACGACGGGGAAGCUUGCUUCCCCGGGCGUCGACCGGCGCACGGGUGAGUAACGCGUAUCCAACCUGCCUCUGACUGAGGGAUAACCCGUCGAAAGUCGGCCUAAUACCUCAUGGUAUCGUCUGCGGGCAUCCAACGACGAUUAAAGAUUUCAUCGGUCAGGGAUGGGGAUGCGUCUGAUUAGCUUGUUGGCGGGGUAACGGCCCACCAAGGCUACGAUCAGUAGGGGUUCUGAGAGGAAGGUCCCCCACAUUGGAACUGAGACACGGUCCAAACUCCUACGGGAGGCAGCAGUGAGGAAUAGUGGUCAAUGGGCGAGAGCCUGAACCAGCCAAGUAGCGUGCAGGAAGACGGCCCUAGGGGUGGUAAACUGCUCUUAUGCGGGGAUAAAGUGAGGGACGUGUCCCUCAUUGCAGGUACCGCAUGAAUAAGGACCGGCUAAUUCCGUG